AUGCAUCCCUUCUGGAAGCUCAAACUGUUUAUUUUAAGCUUCACUUACAUGAAACUCUUUUAUGACCUUUUCCUGCAGAGAAUGAUUGCAUUUUAAAACUGCACUGAUUUCCAUGUUUCCAACUUCUGCUGUGAACUCACUUUAAAUUUUUGUCUGUUGUUGGACCAGUGGGAAUUGGCAGAAGGAAAUUUUCUCUGAGCCCCCUAAUAUGGGGCAUUUUCAUGAACUUCAAAGACGUGUCUGUGUUGCACACAACAGGAACAUGUUCAACACUAUCGUGGCUCGGCUUGCCAUGUUUUGCUCUGAAUACAACACCUGGGGUAUAUCAUCUGAGGGCUACUCUGGUUAUGUGCUUUUGAAGACUGCCUUUAAUUGCUUUUGCAUUGAGCUGUAUUCAUGAAUGUGUAUUCAUCAAAGAAUGAAGAGCAAUGUGACAUUUUUAAGUUUUACUAAGUCAACUAGCAUCCGUUGCCAUAGCAUUCAGAAAUGAGGAAACCAGGAAAAGGCAGAGCUGUUUUUCAUUAUGUGUUGAAAGAUGUCAGCAGGAUUAAAGUGUCAGAGCAUAAAGAAAAA